rnacentral:rRNA from 1 species
AUUGAACGCUAGCGGGAUGCCUUACACAUGCAAGUCGAACGGAGUGGCGAACGGGUGAGUAAUGUAACGGAACGUGCCCAGUAGCGGGGGAUAACUACGCGAAAGCGUAGCUAAUACCGCAUACUAUUGGAGCGGCCGAUAUCGGAUUGGCAAGGUGGUGGGGGAACGGCUCACCAAGGCGACGAUCCGUAGCUGGUUGGAGAGGGCGACCAGCCACACUGGGACUGAGACACGGCCCAGACUCCUACGGUAGGCAGCAGUGGGGAAUUUUGGACAAUGGGCGAAACCCUGAUCCAGCCAUCCCGCGUGUGGGAUGAAGGCCUUCGGGUUGUAAAGCACUUUUAGCGGGAAAGCGUUACCUGCAGAAUAAGCACCGGCUAACUACGUGCCAGCAGCCGCGGUAAUUC